UGUUUAAAGCCUAUAUUAACCACAACGUCACAGUUUUGAAACAAUGAAGGGAUGCAUGUAGCCACUUCGCUGCCGACAACAAUUGAGUCUGAUGGUUCGAUUUGUCCAAUUUAACGCUUACACACUGUGUGUUGUCCUUUUUUCUUAGAAGGAAACCAAAUAGCUGGAUAAUUGGCUCAAGAUAUGGGUGUUUUCCCAGUCAAAUGAACAUUAUGCUUAAAGCGAGAUUCGAAUUUGUAAACGGUUCUGGGAUCCUUCGAUGCGUUAAUCUUACAACAAAUGUUACCAAGGUAACUCGGAUCUGUCAUGACUGAAGAAUCAUCAACCGUAUUGUUCGGAUUUUCACUUUCUGGAAAGGUUUUCCAAAGGACUCACUCUAUAGGAGAAUAAGUUGUUUUCACUUUUGCCUUUGCAGAGUGGAUUGUGUGAUUACGGACCCGGUAUAGCGAUGGGAGCUGAUGGUAUUAGGGAAAAGGUGAAAGUCUAUAAACUAGUUAUAAACUAGUGAGCUGCACAUAUCCCCAGCAGGUGUCGUGAUUAUCGUGACAAUGGAUCUGUCCUGUUUGCUAAACCAGACAUAUUUAGGUCUGAGCUGCUGCUGCUUACAUGUGGAAAAGCGCCAGGAAGACAGACAAAAUGUAGACGGCUAUGCCUUUCCAGGGCAUCCUCCAGGGUCAGCGACUGGCUGACAAGUCCUUGAUUGUGGCCAGCCACUACUAGGCCAAAAAAGAAAGGGAAUGACGGAUGCCCAUGAAGAAGGCCCAUUGCCCUCGCCUCAUCAGGAUGGGAAGUUGGUCUGUUGUUGACCUGACGCACUUGACGGCCACUUUGUUUCCAUGGAAUGUUUCUAGCUGGACAGUUGCAACGCCCUCAGGUCUAUCCUCGUAACCAUUCAUCGGGAGCAAGAACACCUCCAUAGCUAGCGUUGCCACGCUGAGCUGCAGAGGUAUACGGCAGGUUGUAGCCCUGGAUGAACUGUGGGCAGUAGUGCCCCCAACAUCACGGACCAAAAUGUUAUCAGUUUUAAGGUCAUUAUGAAGGAGACUCCUGUCGUGCAUGUGUCGUAGACCGUCCAGCACAUCCAGCGCGAUGCGGCGUUAGGAAGACGGGGCAAGCUGUAUACGGUUGGGCCCUUACAGUACAUCCGCCAGGGAUAACUGACGAGAAUGUUCUUUGAGGAGGUCCCUUGAACUGAGAUGGCCUAUGGAAUAAUGACGGGAUGGUUGCAGAGAUAUCUGAUGGACUGGAAGUGGAGCUGAUUAGGUGGAGCUAGUUCAUAGGUCUGCAGGGAUAGUUGGAGAGGUGGCCAGCAACCCCUGGUUGGGAACAAACAAAACGAGCUUAUGCAUAUCUCAGGGGGCCAAUCACAAAUAAGGGCAAGGUCCAUUGUCACUGCCUAUCAAAUCGCCAGCAGGAUUAGGAUGAAAGCUAACAGCAGCCGCCGGCGAUCACAAUUUACGUCUGCCUGUUUGCAACAAGAGCGAUCUGAUUACAAGGGGCCAAUCAAAAACCAGGACAAGGUCCAUGGUCACUGCCUCUCAAAUCACUAGCAGAAUUUAAACUACAAGAAGCCGGCCGCCGGCUGCACUCCUGACAGCGAUUACAACCCAUGUCUGGCUUCUUGCAACAAGAGCGUUUUGUUUCCUUAAAAGUUACAAGAUGCAUUUCUUUCUGGUAAACGUCCUUUUGUUCGGCUGUCUUCUUGGAAACUUUGUCAUGCUGCGACCUGUGAACAAUGAACUGGACGAAGGGCGAGAAUAUGAGAGCGAGGAAACUCUUGAUAGACCCAAUCAGCAGUCGAUAGCUUUUACUGCUGUGAGGACAAACGACACGGAUCCCUGCUACAAUCACACAACCCCUUUGGCCUUCCAGCAGACUUUGACACUUCUGCCAGGUACUAGCUUUGAUCUCAAGAAUGGUACGUUUACCUGUACUGUGCCAGGGACCUACGCGUUCUCGUUCUCGGUGUACAAAAAUGGUCCCGGUCCCGUUCCCGCGCUUUACGUUCAUCUAAAGAAAAACAACGAAUGGAUUGUCUCUGGUAGCAGUGGUUAUCCAAGUCACUAUGAGCAGGUGUCUGGGAGUGCAGUGCUUGUUCUCCAGCGAGGAGACGAAGUGUAUUUGACCUUAUAUGGUAGUGUGGCCGGUGGUGACUUCUAUCACUUCAACUCCUUCAGCGGCUUCUUGCUUUACGCCAGUUAAUUGAUUGGUCCAAGUGACCAACAUUCUUUGUGUGCAACCUAAUGCGAUUAAUUGAUCUAUGUAUGGCAAGUGUUUAACGCCUCUUCGGGCUAGCCAAGUGUUAUAAAGGGCACUUUUUUAAUCAUUUGAAAUGACUGAGGGCGCUUUUGCUGUAAUGUCAGUCUGGGAGGACACUAUUGGGCUUAUUCAAUGGGGAAAUUCUAACCUUGGGAUGGCCAGGUGUACCAAGUCAAACAAGUGAGAUGUUGGGGUUCGAGGUAAACCCAAAUCAGCCAGUGGAAGCUAAUCGAACGUACCCCAUUCAUUCCAAACCAUGGGGGGUUCAAAAUAGUGGAACCAACAUUUUCGAAUUAAAUUCUCUAGACUUAUUGCCAUGAGCUCGCACAGCAAUGGAUCAUCAAAGAAAAACAAUUAAGGCCCAACUAUGUAAGAAAUCCUAAUAUUUAUUUUGCAAAAAGCAAAGUCAUGGAGUUUUUCUCUGGAAUGACAUUAUGAUUUAUGGAUAGUCAUUAAUGACUGUAUGGAAACAUAUGUUAUUGUAUUGACCUUGUUAAGCGUUAAUGACAUCAACUUGUAGUGGACAUGAUGCGUAGGAGAAAUAUACUUGCUUCAAAAUUGCUUGUUUACGUCUUUUGAGUGUUCCAGAAAACAAGUUAAGAUCGAUGCUUUUCCGGCUACAAGAAUGGAAUGUUCUGACAAGGGUAUAUCGAAAUUUUAUAUAUACAUAUUAACAAAAACUUCCGGAAUUAUCAAAGAAGAUGAAGACAAAUGAGAUAAAGUUAUAAAAUAUAAUAAAAAGGGGAAACCUAGGGUCUGUAUUAAGUUUGAGUUGUAAACUUUACUUGCUGUUGAUGAUUUCUCACUUCAUCAGGAAAUUCAACCCAAAAAGGAAUUGUUAUCUUUUCCACAUUCUCUUUUUCAUCAUUUAUGUCACACUUAUUUUCCUCUUUUUAAUUAAAGUUAACCAUGCGUUUGGUGAUUUUCGACGUCGUAUUUUUUUCUGAUCUUAACAUAAAACAUUUAUGCAGAAUGAUUCAAGAGCUGUACACUCUACACAAAAGAAUAGGUGGACGUUAACGUGUUCAAUAUGUAAAGAUUAACGUAUCAGUUAAACAAAAACUCUCGCCAAAAAGGCAGAUAUAUUUACAUAUUGGCCAAUAAUGUCUUUGAAGUAAGAUUUUUUCAAGGAUUAUUCAGGAGUCCCGUUUUUGUGAUUUUACGGAUGGUAAAAGAUACUUUUGAAAUGAUAAGAAUUUACCAGUUUGAUGAUUCACAGGGCCAUUGAAAUCAAGAGUGUUCGUCUUGAUAUCUAUAUUAAUUGUAAAAUACUUGAUAUAAGCCAUAAAUCUAAAAUUGAAUAAAAUUAAAAAUUUCAAAAAAUAAUUCCCAGUUGUCUGGAUAAUGGUGCAUUUGUUGCAAAAGGUUUUGUGGGCAGUUAUGUUGUCAUUCACGAAACACUGAAGGAGUCUCAGAAAUCGUUUGUUCUUUGAAGCUGAUCUGAAGAAUAAACAAGUGUAAUUAACAAACUGAACGUUUUGUUACCAUAUUUUCCAUAUUUUGCCAUUUUCCCAAAACCUGUCAAGGCGUAGUCUUGGCGUGCACCAACCACUUGCAUUUAUAAACAUUGUCAAACUCGAAUUCUAAACUCCAGAAUCCAAUCUAUCACGGGAUUACGUGGAGCAUCGGCCAUAGGAAAUCAUAUCAGGUCAGACUUGAAAAGGGCAACAGAACCUGAACACCUGCGUGCAUUAUGCAUUCAAUGCAGAGUGUUUAUUUUCCAGAGACCUUAACAGAUCCAUGCAGUAAAAAUUACUGAAACCCACUUUUGGUAUAUUCCAGACAACUAUCGGCUUUGCAGUUUCAAUGUCAUUCAGAAAAGACAUUGUUCAGUUUAUACCUUCAAUUCAAUUGCAGUUAAAUUCAAUUCACUUUGUUUCAAUUGAAUCAAAUCCAGUUAACCUACGUGAAGUGGAAAUAUAGCUUUUUUAAUCAAUAGAAUUUGUACAGAAGUCAAUGCUGAGACUGUACAUGUUACCCUAAAUCAACUCACUGAACAUUUCGUUGAGGGUAGUCCACAAUCCACACAUGUCUCACUGUUUGAGUAAUGAUCUUUCAGUAGCCCAGCCUGAUAGGAAAUCUAAGCAGUUUCAACAGAUUGUGACAGUUCAACAGCUAAAGGUUUUGUCAUUUCUGAAAGUAGCUAAAACACAUGCAUUAUACAAAUAUCCCAUUUCUCUCAAUAUAACCGCAAAAAAGGUCAGAGUACCGUCACGGUACCCUUUUUCUAGUGGGGGGACCAAGUAAACAACAAUUUGACCCCCCCAAAAAAAAACAAACAAUGAAACUACCCAGACAGCUGUCUAGACAUAGCUCAGAGGCACAUCAAAGAGACCGAACAUUGAUAUAAGACAGGCCCUGGCUUGCCCAAGCACCGUUUCUGUAAACAAUCCGAUAAGGCCACGUGGCAGAGAGAUUAGUACAUAGUUCAAUGGGACUCAUUGGCUGGAGGCUGGCUUUGGCGAAACUUAUAUCAGCCAAGGGGAAGUCCCUACCUUAAAGGUGACUAAACUAGGUUAUUCAGCAUGGGCAGAGGUAGGAAUAGAUGGAUGGUCAUCGCAUUUGGCCGUAAUUUUUUUUUAAUUAAGACAUUGCGAAAAUGGCCGUCCAUGGCUGACGGACGUUGCUCUAUGGAAAGGAAAAAGUAUUAAACUACAUCAGGAUACUAUGAACUCAUAAGCUUGAAACAUAAAGUAUUGUGGCGAAACAGUCUGUGGACUGACGCAAGUUUAGUAAUACAUGUCUUGUUCCCUGACGCGCGGCGCAUCCAUUGGCGCGUAGUCAGUAAUUUGGUAGUUAGUUCGUCUCCAGGCGUCGUGGUAGAAGCAUCGCAGUGCAGAUAGAGCGAAACGCUUA